GGUCCGGGAUAACCCCGGGAAACUGGGGAUGAUACCGGAUGGAUCACUUAUGCUGGAAUGCUUGGUGGUCGAAAGGUGACGCCCUUGGAUGGGUCUGCGGCGGAUUAGGUUGACGCCGGUGUAACGUACCGGCGUGCCUGUAAUCCGUACGGGUUGUGGGAGCAAGAGCCCGGAGAUGGAUUCUGAGACACGAAUCCAGGCCCUACGGGGCGCAGCAGGCGCGAAAACUCUACAAUGCAGGCAACUGCGAUAGGGGGACAUCGAGUGGCAUCCACCUUGGGUGCCUGUCCCACCGUCUAGAAAACGGUGGUUAGCAAGGGCCGGGCAAGACCGGUGCCAGCCGCCGCGGUAAUACCGGCGGCUUGAGUGGUGGCCGAUAUUAUUGAGUCUAAAGGGUCCGUAGCCGGCUUUGCAAGUCCCNUGGGAAAUCCAGCGGCUUAACCGUUGGGCUUUCAUGGGAUACUACAUUGCUUGGGACUGGGAGAGGUAGGAGGUACUCGGGGGGUAGGGGUGAAAUCCUGUAAUCCCCCGGGGACCACCGGUGGCGAAGGCGUCCUACCAGAACAGGUCCGACGGUGAGGGACGAAAGCUAGGGGCACGAACCGGAUUAGAUACCCGGGUAGUCCUAGCCGUAAACGAUGCCCGCUAGGUGUCACGGCGGUCGUGAAUCGCCGUGGUGCCGUAGGGAAGCCGCGAAGCGGGCCACUUGGGAAGUACGGCCGCAAGGCUGAAACUUAA
rnacentral:rRNA from 1 species